rnacentral:rRNA from 1 species
UACGUAGGGUGCGAGCGUUGUCCGGAAUUAUUGGGCGUAAAGAGCUCGUAGGCGGUGUGUCACGUCGGCCGUGAAAACCUGGGGCUCAACUCUGGGCGUGCGGUCGAUACGGGCAUCACUUGAGUUCGGCAGGGGAGACUGGAAUUCCUGGUGUAGCGGUGAAAUGCGCAGAUAUCAGGAGGAACACCGGUGGCGAAGGCGGGUCUCUGGGCCGAUACUGACGCUCAUGCACGAAAGCGUGGGGAGCAAACAGG